GAUCCUGGCUCAGGAUGAACGCUGGCGGCGUGCCUAAUACAUGCAAGUCGAACGAAUCUUCUUCGGAAGAUGAGUGGCGAACGGGUGAGUAAUACAUAGGUAACCUGCCCCUGUGCGGGGGAUAACAGGAGGAAACUCCUGCUAAUACCGCAUAGCCAUGAGCACCGCAUGGAGCUCAUGCCAAAUAUCCUUUCGGGGAUAGCGCAGGGAUGGACCUAUGGCGCAUUAG
rnacentral:rRNA from 1 species